rnacentral:rRNA from 1 species
UAGGGGAGACUGGAAUUCCUGGUGUAGCGGUGGAAUGCGCAGAUAUCAGGAGGAACACCGAUGGCGAAGGCAGGUCUCUGGGCUGUAACUGACGCUGAGGAGCGAAAGCAUGGGGAGCGAACAGGAUUAGAUACCCUGGUAGUCCAUGCCGUAAACGUUGGGCACUAGGUGUGGGGACCAUUCCACGGUUUCCGCGCCGCAGCUAACGCAUUAAGUNCCCCGCCUGGGGAGUACGGCCGCAAGGCUAAAACUCAAAGGAAUUGACGGGGGCCCGCACAAGCGGCGGAGCAUGCGGAUUAAUUCGAUGCAACGCGAAGAACCUUACCANNNNNNNNAACANGUUCUCGAUCGCCGUAGAGAUACGGUUUACCCGUUUGGGGCGGGUUCACAGGUGGUGCAUGGUUGUCGUCAGCUCGUGUCGUGAGAUGUUGGGUUAAGUCCCGCAACGAGCGCAACCCUCGUUCCAUGUUGCCAGCACGUCGUGGUGGGGACUCAUGGGAGACUGCCGGGGUCAACUCGGAGGAAGGUGAGGACGACGUCAAAUCAUCAUGCCCCUUAUGUCUUGGGCUUCACGCAUNCUACAAUGGCCGGUACAAUGGGUUGCGAUACUGUGAGGUGGAGCUAAUNCCAAAAAGCCGGUCUCAGUUCGGAUUGGGGUCUGCAACUCGACCCCAUGAAGUCGGA